UGAAUAGAAACUACAUUUUUCAAAUGAAGAAUUUAAAUAUCAUAUCCAAACUCAUGUAGAAGAUUCCAUGAUAAAUCCCUCAAAAUAAGACCAAAUUGAAAAAGAUCUCUUCCUUGUUUUGGGAUUGGUGUUGAGGGAAAAGGAUCACUUUUCUUAUGAGCUCAUCUUUUAGGACUAAUCAAAUGGAUAUUAUUCAGGAUUUUGAGAUGGCUCAGGGGAAUGGUAUGUCAGGAUCUAUCUUUUUUUUUUUGUGCCCAAAUUGUAUCCAACACAUUCAAUAUCACAUCUUGGUGAAAGCAAAUAACUUAUCACUCUUAUUUUUUGAGAAAACUCAGUCAACAUAUAAGCUGUAUAGGCUUGUAAUAUAUGGGUAGAAACGAUAGCUAAACAUAUGAAAACAGGUUAUGGCCUUAUGAUCAUGAGUGAUUGGUAGAUUCCUUAGAGACAAUAUUUUCACUUCAAAUUGUCAUGAAAAAUAAGUCAACAAUGGACUUUAUGAGCUUGUAAUGUGGCUUGACAACGAUAGCUAAAA
rnacentral:lncRNA from 1 species